UUUUAGGGAGACCUACCCAACUUGUUGAUUGUACUUUAGUACUGAAAAACCAACAAGAAGGUCAUCACCUAGGUCGUGCGAGAAUUGACUUUGGCUUCAAACUAUUAUCCGAUUCGGAUUCAUAAAAAAUAAAAACAAGCAUAUAUACAGUCAGCAACUAAAGUUAUUGAUAUAACUAAGCCUGCUGGAUGUAUGUCCAGUAAGAACCUUGAAAACUGCAUAGUGACGCAAAUUGUAGGCAGUAACUGCAUUGUUCGUAUUAAUUACUUGAGUAAUUAAUAUGUAAAUACAGGAAUUGAAUUACAGAUAAUCCUUUGAAUUGUAUUGAAUU
rnacentral:misc_RNA from 1 species